CCGUGGACGUCUGCGUCCAUAAUUUACUACGGGAAUUAGCGCAGGAAUAAUCCACCAUCUCCAUCGACUGUAGGGAUCGCAGUUUGCAACACGUUACUGGCGCUUCUGAAAUCCGUAUAUAAUUGUAUAACUGUUUCCUUGUAUAUAUUCAGUUACUUGUAUUUCUCUGCCCAGUUCGACCGUACACGAAGCCAGAGCCAAAAAUAUUACUGAAUCAUAAUGUAAAUGUGUGUUAAUCACCUGGUCCGGUGUUGGUCCAGAAGUUGGCCGGACGGAAAAGCAAAUGCGUCCCGUUGGUGAUGACGCCGUCGUGCUGGUAGCGCUUGCUGAGCGUGAAGCGCAUCGUCGUCGGCACAUAAUCGGAGGAUGUACUGCGGUACACCGCGGCGUAAAUGCCGGCAGCAAUCUCCAGUCCGAGGAUGAUGAUGAGAAAUAUGGCAUACUGCGACACAGGACGUACCACGGGUCGCCACUCCUUGAGAGCGCCGCAGCAGCCCAGGAAGGCAACGACAAAAACGAUUACGCCGCUAGCAAUCAGCAGAUAGGCUGCUUGCUGCAGCAUCGUGUCGGCCCGCUCGAACUUCGUCAAAUCCUCGUUGACCUGCAGGCGCGCGGUCAGGAUCACGAAGGAGCUCUUGUCCACCUGGCCGCAAAGGAUCCGGUUCCUGAGAUCUGCCAACCAAAGCGUCAAAAGAUGAAGAAACAUUAGGGAAAAUUUUUGAUACAAAAGAAGUUGUCGCGCGUAAUGGUGAAUUAUAAAGUUAUAGCCAUUUUGAAUCAACCAGUUCUGGGUAUUAACCAAGCGAUCCGCUGGGUGCUUGAAAUCUGUUUUGUGGUCGCUACACGAUGGAAUCAUACGUUCGGAUCGGAUCAUAAGAUUCACCAAAUUCGACACCGAAAUUGUUUCAGCACAUGCUGAACACCAUCAUGAAAUUUAAAAAUGGUCCUAUAUAUAAUAUGCGUACAUGUUUCGAUUUUAGACAUGCACAUUAGAACAUGGACAACGGCAUUAAUAUAUAAUUUGCGACUGAUCGAUAUAUUCAUGGAUCUAGUCUUACUGUAACCCUUGCAUUAAAAAAUUUGCUUAAUAUUUAAAAAGCACGAUAGAUGCAAAUUACGUGUUACAUAAUGUACAUGAAUGAUAAGAGAUGUGCCUUGUGCUUAUUUUUUGUUUUGUAUUUAGCCAUUGUAACAUUCUCACCAAUAGCCAGAUCCCGAUCCCCAUCACGACCAGACCGCCGAUGAAGAAGAUCAUAUUGAAUAUCACAAGGACUAUCCUGCAACAGCACUUUACAGUAACACUUCAUUAAACGUUUACUAAUUUGCAGGUGAGAAGUCGAUACUUCGCGCAUUUGAUCCCGCAGGUCAUCGCCAUGAUCAAACCGAUAGGAAUGCUGCUACCACCGUAUAUGACAGGGAACUAAAGCACACAUCAAAUGCCACUCCAAAAGCCGGAAUUAGUCAGUGUUAAUCCAAAUCCUCCAUAUACUGUAACUACCACAUCACAUGAGAACAGCUCCUCGGAUUUCUGAAACAGGUACAACUUUGGCGUUCGCAAUGCGAGCAUCGAUUAUAUUUAUUAUGCGAUACUUCAUUUAUUUAAUAACGCAAUCCGAUUAUGUAAAGAUUAUUUACACCGCCACCAGUUGAUACUCCUAUUCUGUAAUUAUAGAGGUAUCACAUGUAAAUUGUAUUAUUAUACUUUUCGCUGUAUAUGUAAAAUUAGGAAUAAAAUUAUAAAGCUAAUCUUUCAUACCGCCAUUGCUUUAUCUUUAUCAGAACAUUAUUUUGCGGUAUUGGUAUUUGCAGUUUGUUUUUGGUUAGCUUAUAAAGUUGAGUAUAAUUAUAUAAAGUUACGUGAUUAUAUAGUACAUAGUUAUUGUAAUGUCGUACUAUAUGUUAAUUGGGAGAACUAGUAAAUUUAUGUCCAGACAAGCGAAGUUUUUUGCGCUUUCUUCGUCUGAUCAUGAGGCGCGCUCGGCAUCGCCGGAAUUGUGCAUUCUUUGUUGCAUACGCAAUUGCAUACAUAAACGCGUGAAAGGGAUUCCCUGUGGGAACGGGAUAAAGUGCGGCCUUUGUGGGAUGGAAUUUGUCUGUGUGUGCUUCAAGUAUCGGAACUCAUCAAUUCGGCCAGUUUUAAGUUCUCUUAACAAUUCUCAUCAUGUUUCUUAAGCGCGCUCAAUAGACAGGAAUAAGUGUUUUAUGUCGAA